UACAGAGGUCUCAAGCGUUUGUUCGGAUUCAUUGGGCGUAAAGGGUGCGUAGGCGGCGCGGUAAGUCGGGUGUGAAAUCUCGGGGCUUAACUCCGAAACUGCAUUCGAUACUGCCGGGCUAGAGUCCGGAAGAGGCGAGUGGAAUUCCUGGUGUAGCGGUGAAAUGCGCAGAUAUCAGGAGGAACACCUAUUGCGAAGGCAGCUCGCUGGGACGUAACUGACGCUGAGACGCGAAAGCGUGGGGGAGCAAACAGG
rnacentral:rRNA from 1 species